rnacentral:lncRNA from 10 species
CUUCCUUCCACUGCUCACCUCUCCUCCCCCAUAUCUUUUCUCUCAGUAGCAAAAGUCAGCUUUCCAAAAACAAGCGCAGUCAUGCCACUCUUUUCCUCUGGGUAAAACCUUUUCUGGUUUCCUACUGCUCUGAGCUAGAGGCCACAGUUUUUGUUUGUUUGUUUGUUUUGCAGACAGAGUCUUGCUCUGUCGCCCAGGCUGGAGUGCAGUGGCGUGAUCUCGGCUCAUUGCAACCUCCACCUCCUGGGUUCAAGUGAUUCUUCUGCCUCGGCCUCCUGAGUAGAGUAGCUGGGACCAUAGGCGUGCACUACCAGGCCCAGCUAAUUUUUAUAUUUUUAUUAAAGACGGGGUUUCACCAAGUUGGCCAGGUUGGUCUCGAACGCCUGACCUCAAGUGAUCCAUCUACCUCAGGCUGAGGCAGGAGAAUGGCGUGAACCCAGGAGGCGGAGCUUGCCGUGAGCCGAGAGAUCGUGCCACUGCACUCCAGCCUGG